UAGGGAAUAUUGGACAAUGGGUGAGAGCCUGAUCCAGCCAUGCCGCGUGCAGGAAGAAGGCGUUAUGCGUUGUAAACUGCUUUUUGCCAGGGGAUAAAAUGACCGUGCGCGGUUAAUUGAAGGUACCUGGUGAAUAAGCCACGGCUAACUACGUGCCAGCAGCCGCGGUAAUACGUAGGUGGCAAGCGUUGUCCGGAUUUAUUGGGUUUAAAGGGUGCGUAGGUGGCCCUGUAAGUCAGUGGUGAAAUAUCUCAGCUUAACUGAGAGGGUGCCAUUGAUACUGCAGGGCUUGAGUACAGAUGAGGUAGGCGGAAUUGACGGUGUAGCGGUGAAAUGCAUAGAUAUCGUCAAGAACACCGAUAGCGAAGGCAGCUUACCAAGCUGUAACUGACACUGAGGCACGAAAGUGUGGGGAUCAAACAGGAUUAGAUACCCCCGUAGUCCCUGAGCGGGCUGGCAAGGCGCAU
rnacentral:rRNA from 1 species